GACGGAGGGUGCGAGCGUUAUUCGGAAUCAUUGGGCGUAAAGAGCGUGUAGGCGGCCGGUUAAGUCAGGUGUGAAAGCCCGGGGCUCAACCCCGGAAGUGCACUUGAUACUGGUCGGCUUGAGUUCGGGAGAGGGAAGCGGAAUUCCUGGUGUAGAGGUGAAAUUCGUAGAUAUCAGGAGGAACACCGGUGGCGAAGGCGGCUUCCUGGACCGAAACUGACGCUGAGACGCGAAAGCGUGGGGAGCAAACAGG
rnacentral:rRNA from 1 species